UGCGUAGGUGGUUAGGUAAGACCUGUGGGAAAGACCUGGGCUUAACCCAGGAAGGUCGCAGGUGACUGCCUGGCUAGAGGGCGGGAGAGGAGCGCGGAAUUCCCGGUGUAGCGGUGAAAUGCGUAGAGAUCGGGAGGAAGGCCGGUGGCGAAGGCGGCGCUCUGGAACGUUCCUGACACUGUGGCACGAAAGCGUGGGGAGCAAACAGGAUUAGAUACCCUGGUAGUCCACGCCCUAAACGAUGGGUACUAAGUGUCGGCGGGUUACCGCCGGUGCCGCACCUAACGGAGUAAGUACCCCGCCUGGGGAGUACGGCCGCAAGGUUGAA
rnacentral:rRNA from 1 species